CAUUAUUUAUAUUCCAUUUUUAGCCUAGUGGUUUAUUUUAGGGUUUUAAAGUGUUAUAUUGUUUCGAUUUUAGAAAGUACGUAAUGAAAAGUGAAAUAUAUCCUAAACUUUUUUGUUUUGUUUUAUUCAUAUGCAAAGCUUGAAUUUGAAUUCCAGUUUUUGGUGAAAUGUGGAGAUGCUAAGCAGUUGGAAAAGCAACUGGUCAUACCAAAGCUUGUAGUCAAUGUCUUGCCAGAAGAAGCUAUGUUUCAUAUGAAAUUGCUUGAUAUUAGGGGCAACAGACAUGUGCUUUAUGCUGCGCGUUUGGAGGAUGGGACUUGUUUGGUUUUUUGGUACUUCUUGGAAAAAUUUUGUGAAGUCGGAUCCCUACAAACAAUUUGCUACUCUUUGCUUUACUUGGAAGAAGGAUUUUACAUUUGGUAUCCAGCUUUACUGUCCAGGUGGUUUGGAAUAUCGUAGGGUGAUGAGGCCUGGUGAACCUGCUGUUAACAGAGCUGAUUGAAGCAACUGAUUUCACAUUUCAUCAAGUGGUGCUUUCUCCCACCCUGCUGUUUAACUUGAACAGAAACGCUGAUCAUGGUUGGCAAACUACUGCUAUUGUUUUGGGAAGGAAGCAAAAUGCAAAAGUCAAUGUAACCUACCACUAUUAUGGCCUGGAUGAUCUGAAUGGAAAGAUUGCUUGUGGUUUUGAGGGGGUUGUGUGGAGGAACUUUUGUUCAAAAAAUAAUCUUCGUCCUGGUUACAAACUUAAGUUCACCAACAACUUCGACUUGACAUUCAGAGUAGAUGUGUUUGGACCUAAUGGAAAUAUUGUUGAUGUUAAUAAGGUAAUAGUAAAAGCAGCAUGGUUGGAUCAGUGGUAAACACCCUUGCCUCUGAAGACAGAAGUCAUGGGUUCGAUCCUCAUCCCAUGUAAAGGUUGGAGAGCCUUUUCUACUAUUUAGGUAGAAACUGAAAGCAGCCUUCCUACCUAGGUAGAGGUAAGGUCUGCCUACAUCUUAACCUCCCCCAUAC